rnacentral:rRNA from 1 species
ACUCAAAGGAAUUGACGGGGACCCGCACAAGCGGUGGAGCAUGUGGAUUAAUUCGAUACUAACCGAAGAACCUUACCCAGACUUGACAUUGAAGGAAAAGCCCUGAAAGGGGUUCCUCUGGUCACAAGCCAGACCUGAAAACACUUGUUGCAUGGCUGUCGUCAGCUCGUGCCGUGAGGUGUACGGUUAAGUCCGCCAACGAGCGCAACCCACGUCCUGUAUUACCAGCGAGAGAGUCGGGCACUUACAGGAGACCGCCGGUGUAAGCCGGAGGAAGGUGUGGAUGAUGUCAAGUCAGCAUGGCAGUUACGUCUGGGGCUUCACACAUGCUACAAUGGGCGCAACAAAGGGCAGCAAUACCGCGAGGUGGAGCAAAUCCCAAAAAUACGUCCUCAGUUCAGAUUGCAGUCUGCAACUCGACUGCAUGAAGGCGGAAUCGCUAGUAAACGCAGGUCAGCUAUACUGCGUUGAAUACGUUCCCGGGUCUUGCACACACCGCCCGU